rnacentral:rRNA from 2 species
UUGACCUCGGAUCAGGUAGGAAUACCCGCUGAACUUAAGCAUAUCAAUAAAGCGGAGGAA